AUACUACUCCCUUCAUCCGAAAAUACUUGUCUGAGAAAUGGAUGAAUCUAGAUGUAUUUUAGUUGUAGAUACAUCCAUCUUUAUGCAUUUCUCCGAUAAGUAUUUUUGGACGGAUGAAGUAUUAA
rfam:Triticum urartu cultivar G1812 contig443451, whole genome shotgun sequence.